GUUUCCCUCCGUGCGUGUUUUGGUGUUGGUGAGCGUGUAUUUGCUUCUGGUUUGUUUUCGUUGGUGUAUCGUUUUUUUCCUUUGAUGAUCGUGACUUUCCCCCCAAACAGGUGACCAAAAUUGCUGUUUUUAGAGUAUUGAUUUAGGACUUUGUUGUUGUUUUUUUAGGUUCCAAAUUCCCGCAAAAAAUGAAAACAACAGCCUACUAAGCGCAACGAUUUGGCCCGACCUUGCACCACUACUACUACUACCACUGUCAAAGUGAUGGUUCUACACGCAAUAAUUCCCCCCCGUUUCUGAAAACAGCUGAUCCGUUGUUUGAUGGCAAAUGCGCAGAAUCCAGUUCCGUUGCCGCUAGUUCCUGAGAUAGUUGUUUUUUCCCACACUUGUUCUUGCCAGGCUUUCGCGCACCCCGAAAGUGAUCAUACGAGCUUCAACGUUGAACCGUAGCCAUCAGCAGGAAAGCAACUCAAUGCUCUUUCUUCUUCAGCGUAACUCAUCCGUGACAGCUGGUGUCUUUAGCUCCGAAAGACAAAUUGGCAAUGUCUUCGGCGACACGAGUACAUCAAUCAUCCUCCUCACAAAUCACUGAUAAAGUCGAUCGCGUGCAUCUACGACGACUCCAUCAUUCCGCUGUUUGUUUGGGAUGCGUGUUUGUGUUCUCUGACGUACUCGGGCUACGAUAACGGGUAAUUUUGAAGAACCCGCACCGCACCGCAAUUAAAAACUGCCAAUCGAAAGGGCCCCGCAAUCGGCGGGUCUACGGCCAAAAACUGCAAUAACUCGGUGCGGUGCGGUUUUGGUCUACUUAUAGACGGGCGGGACUAAUUGCUGCCAAUAUGUUGUAGGUAGGUGCCCGGCAUGCAAUUGAAACGAUCCGACCUAUGUCGAUUAUGAUUGAUGUGUAAUGUCGUCCGCGUAUUGCUCUAUUUUGGGGUGUUUUGAUUGCUCCAAAAGUACCUCCCCAUCGCAAGCAAUCAGCGGCAAGUACCCUUCCAAGCACGGAACGUCAUAACGAUCGUCGCAUACUUCGAUGGCACUGUCCUACAAAAAGCCAUACCCGCAGAAUUGUUACAUUCUUGUCCAGCAGCUUACACCGGGCAUCUGCAUGUCGCGUGGCUGACAUCAAGAUUUAUAGCCCAGCACGAGUUAGCCACACUUGAGCGGUAGAGGAUUCACUUCUUGCCAUCAUUAUCUGGCCAUGCAGGCUGCAACCGGCACAGCUAGUGCAAAGAUUGACCUACCGGGAUGACGGGAGAAUGAAGGUAACAUCUCAAACCCCGCCCAGGUGUUAUCAGUCGCCAUCGUCAAUCCAGGACAGCCACCAGGGGCUGAUCAUCAGUCCAGCGGUUCCUAAGCCCAAGGCGACAGGCAGACAACGCGAGGCCCUUGGCAAACAACCGACCGAGUGAGCUAGGCACAAGCACAAGCCACAGUUGGCAAAUUAGUUUUCAGUCUUAUCAGACCCGAGAGACACCUACCAUAAAGGUACAACCCCGUUUGUGUACAGCCCUCCUCCUUCGCCCAAGCGCCCAUUUAUCUAGGUCCCGUGCGUGCACUUGCAGGGGAACAGGUGGAGUAGUGGUAUUACGACAUGAAAGCUGGGGGUGAAAAUACACAAAAUUGACACUGAUCCACAUGCGCAAGACGAACAAGUACAAGUGGCCAUUCGUAGUGGGUGAUACAACAACAACAACAUCGCUAACACUAUGGACAUACGGGACGGGAGGAUCUCGUGACAUCCGGAGGGUUACGAUGGUUGUCAACUUGGUCCACAUGCAAUUCAGAAAACCAGGUCGUAGUGGACACGUUUUGUGGACACUUUAGAUUGUCUUUUUGUGUGAAGAUUCUGAAGUAGCGUGUGAUGCAAUCUUGUGCACUUGACGAGUUUUUAUCAAUAUCCCUGUCUUUAAGUUAACGCGUAGUACAUUUCAAGACACUAAGUAGUACUGAUUAUUUUGGAAUAAGUAUCUCAAUUUAUGGAAAUAAUUUUGUCCAUUUCGCACUUCACGCACUACACAGUACUUACCAAAAGCCUUAGUUUCUGAUCCGUUUCAGCUUCUACUGGAGCCUACAAAUGAUCACUUAUGGAUCCCACUUAGUAGCUUGGCACUACUGCUCCUUCAGCACACCUGUUUCGAGCAACCUCGACCGGGACGACGGAACCGUUCCGCAGAACGAUGAGUGCACGACUGAGCGUGGCCAGCUUAGGCGGGUACCAUUACCUUCGGACGGCCAAGAACGCAAAGGCUUAAUCAAACAGCAAACCAACCAAACCCACCCUACCCUGUCCACCCCCCGCGUGUCCGAUCUUUGUGACACGGUCGCGGUAGUCUCAUAAUGGGGGUGAGCAGGCUCGUGCCAACCCGAAGGUAGCUUCAUAUUUUGUAUUAUCACUUUAAUUAAGUAGCCAGUUGUCAUUGAAACACACCACCAUCGCCGUUCUUACCUUGAUGGACUGUGCGGAUAUCCUGAGCGGACUGUGUGUGUGCGUGUGUGUGUGUGCAGGGGGGGGAAGAGUGAAAUGAAACACCCAUUGGAUGCAGCUGUAACAUGUGUGACUUGUGUGCGGGGCAAAGCGAAGGAGUAGUAGCAACCGUGUUAUCAGACGACGAUGGCCAAAUUGUAGGUGUGAUAAAUGGUUAUCUUUCAACGCGAGAUGAGACGAGAUAGGCAAAUUAAAAACGCGUAUGUAGAUCAGAACUCGAGCGGAACCGGGGAGGUGUUUUAUGAGGGGGCCAGCAGCCGCUCUUGAGCUACCGAAAUUUUAUAUAAUAAUUGUACACUAUCUGAAGUACGUCAUAUUCACCAGUAUGAUGUUUGACGUCUUUCAACUGUUGAGAUCGAGAAGGACGACCAUUUGCUUAAAAAUGUUAUUUCCUUUAUACAAUGUAUGACGAUGGUUUGCGAUGUUUAAACAACCACAGCAUAAUCCCAAAUUCAAUCAGAAAAAGCCGUUAAAAAAGGUUAGAGAAAGGAACAUGGAUUAGUCGUUAAUCGUAAAAAUCCUUUUAGAUUUUUAUGUUUUUGUGGGAUUUUUCUCAUAAUCUGAAGCACAAGAUAUUUUUAAUACGGAGACAAACAUAUCUAUAAGAUCUGCAAAACUCACUGAAAAAACGGCUCUAACUGCUUAUUUGAAAGUAACGCUUUUUCAAAUUGCAAGAACUCAACUCUGCCCUAUAACUAUUUUCUAAUCUGCUAGAGUCCGCUAGGAGCGCUGUAGUCACUAAAGUGAAUCUCGUAAGUUCAAAAUUCGUAUUUCUACGUGCUCCAAAAUGUUGAAUUUCAUCCUGCUAAUGUUGUAUCUAAGCCAACAUUAAUUAACAAAGCGAAAUUUUGAACAAAUUAAGAUAAAAUUUAGAACAAAUUCUACCCACUCCAUUGUUACAGCAAUUGUUUAUUUCUAUUGCAAAAAAAAGGAACUAAACGAACGCGUAAAUUAAAGCCAAUUACAUUGCUGUAAUGUCCUACUACA